rnacentral:rRNA from 1 species
CGAUGCAACGCGAAGAACCUUACCUGGUCUUGACAUCCCAGAAAUCCCUGGAAACUUGGGAGUGCUUCCAUUAGGAAGAAUCUGGAGACAGGUGCUGCAUGGCUGUCGUCAGCUCGUGUCGUGAGAUGUUGGGUUAAGUCCCGCAACGAGCGCAACCCUUGCCUUUAGUUGCCAGCAGUUCGGCUGGGCACUCUAAAGGGACUGCCGGUGUUAAACCGGAGGAAGGUGGGGAUGACGUCAAGUCCUCAUGGCCUUUAUGACCAGGGCUACACACGUACUACAAUGGCCGAUACAAAGGGCAGCGACAUCGCGAGGUGAAGCCAAUCCCAUAAAAUCGGUCUCAGUCCGGAUUGGAGUCUGCAACUCGACUCCAUGAAGUUGGAAUCGCUAGUAAUCGUGGAUCAGCAUGCCACGGUGAAUACGUUCCCGGGCCUU